rnacentral:lncRNA from 1 species
AUGUGCAUCUCGUGCUGGCUUCAUGGUCAGAGGAUGUUCAUGAUUUUCCCAUGUCCUGCUACAUGGCUCUUGAGGACGCCACCAGCUCCUGUCUCUGAGGGUUUCCUGCCCCGGGAAUUUCCUCUGCUGCCUGCUGUGCAAUAUGGGAGGAACCUAAAACAAGAAGCCCCACUCUAAAAUGGUCGUUUCUGACUGUUUGCAAGGUCUUCUGAUUCAAUCACCUCACGCCCGUUACUUCCACACUGUUGUUUUCCGAUGCCAAGAAWGGAGAAAAUGCUUAGUUCAGAGGAAUUUUCAAUGUAUCCU